rnacentral:rRNA from 1 species
UUCCGGUUGAUCCUGCCGGAGGCGACCGCUAUUGGAGUUCGAUUAAGCCAUGCGAGUAGAAAGAAAUUGGAUUCUUUGCAUACUGCUCAGUAACACGUGGAUAACCUGCCCUACACUGGGGGAUAAUCUCGGGAAACUGAGCAUAAUACCCCAUAGACCACUACGCCUGGAACGGUGAGUGGUUGAAAGCUCAGGCGGUGUAGGAUGGGUCUGCGGCGUAUCAGGUCGUAGGGGGUGUAAUGGACCUCCUAGCCAUCGACGCGUACGGGUUGUGGGAGCAAUAGCCCGGAGACGGAUUCUGAGACACGAGUCCGGACCCUACGGGGUGCAGCAGGCGCGAAAACUUCACACUGCAGGAAACUGUGAUGAGGGAACUCCAAGUGACUGCCCAAUGGGUAGCCUUUUCUUGAAUCUUAAUAGUUCUUGGAAUAAGGGCUGGGAAAGACCGGUGCCAGCCGCCGCGGUAAUACCGGCAGCUCAAGUGGUCGUCGCUUUUAUUGGGCCUAAAACGUCCGUAGCCUGUUUGGUAAAUCUGUGGGUAAAUCAACGAGCUUAACUCGUUGAAUUCUGCAGAGACUGCCAGACUAGGGACCGGAAGAGGUAUGAGGUACUCUGGGGGUAGGGGUAAAAUCCUGUCAUCCUCAGAGGACCACCUGUUGCGAAGGCGUCAUACUGGAACGGAUCCGACGGUCAGGGACGAAGCCUAGGGGCACGAACCGGAUUAGAUACCCGGGUAGUCCUAGGUGUAAACGCUGUGGAUUUGGUGUGUGGGGUCCGCAAUGGGCCCCAUGUGCCGGAGUGAAGAUGUUAAAUCCACUGCCUGGGGAGUACGGUCGCAAGGCUGAAACUUAAAGGAAUUGGCGGGGCAGCAC